rnacentral:rRNA from 1 species
GCCUGCCCAGUGAUGUAUUUUUAACGGCCGCGGUAUCCUAACCGUGCAAAGGUAGCGCAAUCACUUGUUCUUUAAAUAAGGACUAGUAUGAAUGGCGACAUGAGGAUCGCCUUGUCUCUCAUAAUAGGUCCAUGAAACUGAUCUUCCAGUACAAAAGCUGGAAUAAACCCACAAGACGAGAAGACCCUGUGGAGCUUCAAACUUCAGACCACACAAAACCUGGCCCUGCCGUUUUUAGUUGGGGCGACUUUGGAGCAAAACUAAACCUCCAAACAAAUAACUUGAGGCCGCCGCGCCAAAACACCAACAAUGACCCAAUACAAUUGACCAAUGAACCAAGUUACCCCAGGGAUAACAGCGCAAUCUUCUUCUAGAGUCCCUAUCGACAAGAAGGUUUACGACCUCGAUGUUGGAUCCGGAUACCCAAAUAGUGCAGCCGCUAUUAAAGGUUCGUUUGUUCAACGAUUAAUAAUCCCACGUGAUCUGAGUUCAGACCGG